UACGGGAGGCAGCAGUGGGGAAUAUUGCACAAUGGGCGAAAGCCUGAUGCAGCUAUGCCGCGUGUAUGAAGAAGGCCUUAGGGUUGUAAAGUACUUUCAUCGGGGAGGAAAAACAAAACUAAUAAUUUUAUUUCUUGACGUUACCCGAAAAAGAAGCACCGGCUAACUCCGUGCCAGCAGCCGCGGUAAUACGGAGGGUGCUAGCGUUAAUCAGAAUUACUGGGCGUAAAGAGCACGUAGGUGGUUUUUUUAAGUCAGAUGUGAAAUCCCUGGGCUUAACCUGGAACUGCAUUUUGAAACUGAAAUACUAGAGUAUCGUAGAGGGAGGUAGAAUUCUAGGUGUAGCGGUGAAAUGCGUAGAUAUCUGGAGGAAUACCUGUGGCGAAAGCGGCCUCCUAAACGAAUACUGACGCUGAGGUGCGAAAGCGUGGGGAGCAAACGAGGGAUUAGAUACC
rnacentral:rRNA from 1 species